rnacentral:snRNA from 1 species
GUGCUUACUUAGGCAGCACAUAUACUAAAAUUGGAACGAUACAGAGAAGAUUAGCAUGCCCCUGUGCAAAGAUGACCCACAAAUUCAUGAAUCAUUCUAUAAAGAA